AGUAUUCUAAAGAUUCGGGCGCACAUGUUUGCAGGCAGUCCUAAUGAAACAACAUCGGGAACAUCUAUCAACAAAAUAUAACAAUUGCUCUAUAAGUGAACAUUGCGCUCAAAUGAUGAUAAAUGGAUCAGUUUCUGGUUAACCUUUGACCCACAGAUUAUUGCAUUUGAUAAUCAGCAAAAGAUUGAGAUGCUGCUUCACAAAUUGGUGUAAAUUCUUGUCAGAUAUGUUCCUUAGUAUAUUCAGAAUUGUUUGCCAUAUAUAAGAACAGAAUCCCAAGUUUUGCAAGGGAUCUUUUCAUUGAGCAAAUAUGUACUCGCGCGCUGCUUGUGUGAGGAGGGUUGUGGGUUCAAGACGCAUCUCUGGACCACCUGAUAUCGUGCAGUAGCGAUGUCCAUUUUCAAUUGAAAAUAUAGAUCAAAAAUAUAUUUUAAAUUUUCGACACUGCGGUGCGCAAUGGCAAUAGAAAAUUUCUCAUACUAUUCUUCCUAAAUGGAGUUCAACUCAUCUC